rnacentral:rRNA from 1 species
AACGAACGCUGGCGGCAUGCUUAACACAUGCAAGUUGGACGCAGGAUAGAGCUUCGGCUCUAUUGCUGAGUAGCAAACGGGUGAGUAACGCGUGGGAAUCUACCUUUUUGUGGGGGAUAACUAAGGGAAACUUUAGCUAAUACCGCAUAAGCUCUACGGAGGAAAGGCUCUAUUAGAAUUCAGGAAUCACAAGAUAAAGUUUAGUUAUUUAUCUGGUGGUUUCUGAAUUCUAGAGUCGCGAAAAGAGGAGCCCGCGUCAGAUUAGGUAGUUGGUGGGUAAAGCUACCAGCCAAUGAUCUGUAGCUGGUCUGAGAGGAUGAUCAGCCACACUGGGACUGAGACACGGCCCAGACUCC